GAUGAACGCUGGCGGCGUGCCUAAUACAUGCAAGUCGAGCGAAUGGAUUAAGAGCUUGCUCUUAUGAAGUUAGCGGCGGACGGGUGAGUAACACGUGGGUAACCUGCCCAUAAGACUGGGAUAACUCCGGGAAACCGGGGCUAAUACCGGAUAACAUUUUGAACCGCAUGGUUCGAAAUUGAAAGGCGGCUUCGGCUGUCACUUAUGGAUGGACCCGCGUCGCAUUGGCCAGUUGGUGAGGUAACGGCUCACCAAGGCAACGAUGCGUAGCCGACCUGGGAGGGUGAUCGGCCACACUGGGACUGAGACACGGCCCAGACUCCUACGGGAGGCAGCAGUAGGGAAUCUUCCGCAAUGGACGAAAGUCUGACGGAGCAACGCCGCGUGAGUGAUGAAGGCUUUCGGGUCGUAAAACUCUGUUGUUAGGGAAGAACAAGUGCUAGUUGAAUAAGCUGGCACCUUGACGGUACCUAACCAGAAAGCCACGGCUAACUACGUGCCAGCCGCCGCGGUAA
rnacentral:rRNA from 1 species